CACCAAAGCCCAUUGAAACGGCGCUGCAAGUUUGUCUGCAUCUGCUUUAGAAAAAACUACCGCAGCUUCUCCCUUGUAGACAGAAGCCUGCUGAAUGUGGAUAGGAGAUGUUGCCGGCUGAGAAAAAAGUUGAGAAAAAGAUUUUUUUUGGGUAGGUGAUAAUCCUUGCCCCUCAGCCGACGGCUGAAGGGCAGCCAUGAACUAGUUGAGAAAUUAGAGAAAAUAAGAAGAGAGAAGGAAGAGAGUUU
rnacentral:lncRNA from 1 species